UAUGAUCAUUACUUUAUCAUUUCCCUGAAGUAAUAAUCACCAUAUUAAUCAUUUUGCAACGCAGACGCGGUAGUUCUUCUACCUUAGUGUCUCGGUCUGAUUGCAUUUCCAUGAAGUAAUGAUCAUAAAUGUUCUUCCUUGAGCUGCAUCACCCCGCAGUAGUGCGUAACGGAUUAGCCUGAGGUCUCGAACAAACAAGCGACUGCUGGCAGAGAGUAGGUGAGUUGUGUUUAGUCUCUUUGCUAAAGAAAUUAGGCAAAGCUAAAAAGAUGUUUGGUGGCUAGUGCUAUGCCUGGGAUGUGUACAGUUGAUGAAGUUAGAUGCUGUUCUGAGCAUUAUUUGUGGCUAUAGAGUGGUGUUUUGGUCGAGGUUUGUUUAUGGCUCUUCAGACUGCUGUGGUCGGCAACAUUCAUCUCUCGAGGGGGUGUCUAACUCGGUGUUAUGGUGUGUUUGACCCUAAAUUGAUUUUACACCAGAAUAUCCCUUUAAUGUACAAAAGCUGCAUGUCUGAUUUGUUUUACUGGUUUCUUUGUUUAAAUGUGUGAGUGUGUGUGGUGUGUGAUUGUUUUGUACACAGUAAUGUCCUGUAUAAGGACAAAAACACAUCUUUGCUUCUUCUGGGCGCCCCCUCUCCUCUCCUUUCCUCACCCUCCCUUCCUCCCCCUCCUCGACUCCCUCCCUCUCCCACCUGGCAUAGCUGUCAGCAGUAUGGCUCUGUGCCUUGGCAUCGAACACACCAUCUCUCUGGCACGUCAUCUGGUAGCAAGAAUGAGGUGUGGGACGAAGCCAACUGGGGCUACUCUGAUCAUUGUGGUCGUCCACUCUACGGAAACCCGGAGGGGGGAUUUUCCACCUGUUCAAUGGGAACCUGAAGUGCACCUCCAGGGGCCACCAUAUGCCAUCCAGAUUCAAGCGCUCCACCCAAAGGUCUGUUAAAGGUGAGUCUUUAUUAGUAGCAUAAAUGAAGUUAUAAUAAAACAUCACAAGAACAGCUAAAUAAUCGUGGUAUACCUACAGAUAAACCAACUUAUUCACCAAACGUGUGAUUGAUAGUCAUUUUUCAUACAGACUCACUAUGCUGGAUUCCCUCCCAUCUGACAGCGUCAAUGUCAAAGCAAGAAAAUAUUAAUACCAGUAUUAUUAACAGUGGUUCUGUUGAGUUCAAGAGUCCCAGGAAGCUUUGACAGAGUGACAGCGUGCUACGAUGCACAAAAGAAGGAGCCUGAAAUUGAAGGCACUGCUUCCUACUGUGACAUGUCAAAAUGUCUUCUGUGAAGAAAUCUCAAGGUGUAAAUAUGCUUCAUAAAGCUGCAGGCAAAAACUUUCCUUACUUUCAAACUGCAGCGAAGGUUCAGAGCCACACAAUUUCAUAUAGUGAGAUCUGUCUGAAUGUGUGAUGUUAGUGCUACCAGAUUUAUGGAAGACAAGCCUCAAUCAUCUCCUAUUUAAGAAUAAAUGAGGCCAGACUCGGUAGAGACUGAUAGAGCUAGUAACGUGUAUUGGAGCCAAGACAUAGGCAGAUUGAUAUGGUGCUAGACUCCCUAAAGUGCACAUUUUAUUUAACAGCAAAGAUCUCUCAGGUACCGUCCAAAGCAUGAUAGGUUCUGGUGCCAGCUUGAAAAAUGUUCGUGUUUUGUUCUUUCUCUCUCAGAGAGCCAGGAAUUUACAUCACAUUCCCUCUCUAUAGCAUAAAAUAAAUGUUUUUCAAGCUCCUUUAUAAUAGAAAUGUCAUCUAACAGAAGAAGGUGAAUUUAAUUGACCAGUAUUUUAGUUUCCAAGCUUGACCCAUGUUUCAUUAUGUUACAGUGAAGGAGGCCAGCACCAUGGUUUUACUGCAGCCGGUCAGAAGGGGGAGCUCUAAAAGGUUGGCUUUACCUUUGGGAAGCUGCCAUGAUGUCCAUCACUCAUCAAGUCUAAGGUAUGUUAUGAUCUGUCUUCUGCUUACCUGGAAAGAGCACUUACUUUUAGUGCAGUUUGACAGCGAUGGUAUUAGUGACUGGACAGUAUCAAUGUCGCUUAUCCCAUCAACACCGACUGUCACCAGAUUCUACAGCAAAAAUGAUAAAUCAUAUUUGAUGUGACCACACCUGUAGACAGAAACUUGAUAUCAUUCAAAGAAAUCAAACUUUUUUUUGACACAAUUUGAAGAAAGACAAAGAGCAGAUUUGCUUUUUCAAUAUAAAAUCCCUUACACAAUUUUUAUUCAGGGCAUUUUACUGUAAGAAAUAACUUGAACAUUUGUCAAAUUUAUCAUGAUAUAACAUACAGAAAACCAAGUUUUUUGCUGGAUCCGUGUGAAAUAGCACAUCUACUACCUGUUUGUCAAUCAGUGUUGUGUCUAUGGGCUCUAGUUUAGCUCAGCAGGGGUCCUAUAAACAGAGGCAACACUCUUUGGCUCAUCCAUCUCUCUUACAUGUUAAACUCUUAAGUCUAACUGAAAUCGCACUAAAUCAGGCUCCUCAUAAUCAGACUAACAUACCUAGAUAACUCUGGUUGGCGUUUCUCUUCCAUGCAUACAGAUAAAUCAGACUGAAACUGGUCUAAGCAUUCUGCACACGCUCCAGUGGUUUCACGCCAGGCUUUGAGCUGGAAGUUGAACAGCAUGGAUGCAUUACUUGGAAGCUGAGCAAAGAAAAAAACCUUGACAGAUGAAGAAAAAAAACACAAAAAUUUGUUAUCAGGAUGGAUUCUCCAAGCUGGCAUGAUGUGGUUUAUGGCAACCCCUCUCCUUUCUCCCCACAUUUCUUGUCUCCCUCAAGCUAUUCCAUAAGAAAGGCAAAAAUGCCCCAAAAUAGUGAUAAAAAAUAUACAGUUUUAUACUUGAAUAAAUCCAGGCAGUUACUGGUUCAUUCAUUAGUUGUGGACCACUAUUCUGAAGUCGUGAGUAAGACCUCUCAGCUGCAGCUGUCUGGUUUUCUGGGGGGUCAUAAGUGACCAUAUUUAGAUGAGAGGGGUUGGACACCAAGGUCAACUGAAGCACUUUAAAUUAAUGGAGGUGACUCCUGGCAGAAGACUAGCGUCACCCACCUGUCUCUGAAAGCAGCCAUGUGUUUAUUAUGCAUCCCUUUGAACCACGGUAUAAUUCCAAUGAGUGAGUUAAAUUAACAACCAGUCAUUUGGUAUGAGCGGGUAACUGAGCUACUGAGACAAACACAUUCUGGUACAAGGCUGUAAAAAUGUUUCACUGUGCUCUGUGUUGGACUUUUAAAAACAGAUCUGUGGGGAUUGACUGCUCUCUGAGCCAGCUUCAUUUGGCAGCACCAGGAUCUGCAGUUUUCACCACUUCUGUGUUGGCUUUAUUUUUCAGCCCUGGAGGCUGCUGCUUGGAUACACAUGGUUAUGGUUUUUACUGUUUCCUCUGGCACGUUAAGUAUUGUCUAGUUUUGUAACCUGUGCAGCGGCAGUUUUGGCACAGAUUUUUCUGGGUCUUUGUUAGUUAAACUUUGUUGCUGUAAAAGCUCAUAUUUCCAAAUCUCAAAUGACUGACCUCAUUCAGAAAAGUUACACAGUAUCAGGAGAAGAAUGAGGUGAAGUAUUAUGUUUAUAAGGGAGCCUCCCUGCAGGGAAUUCAGACCCCAUAAUUCUUCCCUGGAAACUGCGAGUACAAUCUUAUUUUUGGAUCUGCAAAUCUUUUUUUCCAUUUAACCCUCAACCUUGAAACAUUCAUCUGUCAUUAAAUUUUACACUCUGUUGUGUAACUCAGGCAACAAUUUCCUCUAUUGUUAUACCGUUCUAUCUUAUCUAAUCUCACCUCAUCUUACCUUAUCUUAUCUUAUCUUUAAAACAAUGUAAGGAGUUUUGAGAUCAUCUCAAACUGAUCCUACCCUUUUGCUGGACAGUUUUGUCAUGCUAGUGUAUAUCUCGACCAAAAGCCAUUUUCUGGACUUGUCGGGUGACUGUGGCUUAAAUUAAGCUUAAUAAAGUGUUUUCUGUUAGAAAUAAGACAAAACACUUGCAAGGAUUUGAGUUUUUGUUUUGUUGUUGUUGUUGUUGUUUUGAAUAAAGAAACUACAAUCAGUCUUUUCUCAGUAGAAGAGCCAAAAAGAUCAAAAGGAUCUAAUAAUUAUGCUUAUGAAUGCAUCACUUGGUUUUGUGUUUGUUUGAGUUGUUGAGACAUUUUAUUGAGAAACCGGAGUACACACGGUGACAGGUGACAUCAAAUUAGUAUAUCAAGUCAUUAUUUCAGGUUGUUAGAAUGACAAAAAUCUGUCAAAAAUGCAAAAUCAAGUUCUCACUUUUCCUCACGUUGAUCCAGUCUAAAUUUCAACCAUAUGGUGAGGGUUAUCAGAUUCAACACUAACAUACAUUUUGAGCAGAGUUUUAGAAAAAAAAGAUAUCACUCCAGGAUUAUGUAUAAUCUGUUUUGUCUUGGAGCAUUUCCCCUCCAUCUAGUGUUUAUGUCUAUAACCAAAAGUCCCUGCAAUAAUGAAGAAUUUCGACUCCCUAAAUCUGCAAAACUGCUCCUCUGCUCUUCAUAAGAGCCGCCUCAAGCUGGGGGAGUGAGUUUUUUAGUCAAAGGAGGGAUCUUUGUUCUGUGCACAGAAGGAAUAGUAAUGUUCCUAAAAGACUUCAAUACAUCAGAGAAAAUGCGUUUUCCAUCAAGUGACUCUGGCAUCCAGCUUAAAAAGCCAAAUACUCUAUCUUGGGGUUAUGAACAGCUUAAUUGGCAGCAUCACUGCAAGUGUCUCACAAGAUGUCAGCAGUGAAAGAGAGGCUACCGGAGCAAACUCCAGGCAUGGUGACAGUGCAGGGAGAAAGUUUCCAUGAGGCACUCUGGGAGCUCAGAGAGCAGUUGGCUUGAUUUCCUGUCAUCACAGGCACAUAAUUACCUCCGACUCGUGUCAAGUGGCAAAAGAACAAAGAGGAGCUCAGCAGUGAAGGAAAAAUUUAGAUCUGUUUCUGAAGUGAAAACUGAAGAACCACAUUAAAAUCGUUUCCAGUGGAAAGAUUAAGCUUUUACAGGGAGCAAUUAAACGAGAUGUUGUUGAAAAAUAAUCCCACCAUCACCAAACCUAUUUAGUGGGUGAUCAUUUUCUUUGAUCUGUGUUCAGACUAAAACUAAUCAUUUCAAAUGUAAUGACAACUUUGAAAGAAAAAGUGAUUCAGGCUCAGACUAACUACAAACUGUGCCUUUGUGCUGCUGCUCAAAACUUCCCCAGUGUACUCUGAAUUCAGUGCUAGAUUAUAACUGGCUCAUCCAUUCAUCGUUCCCUUCAUCCAUCCAUCCCAUCAGGCAUCUGUCUAUCCGUUUAACAUCCAUUCAUUCAUAAAGUAUGCAUCUGUCCAUGGAUCCAUCUGAUAUUGAUGCAUCCACCUUUCUAUCAGCAUGCAUCCAACCAUUCAUGUAUCCAUCCAUUGCUGAGUUUAUCCAUCAAUCCAUGAAUUUCAUCUAUGCAUCCAUCCAUGCAUUCAUUCAUGCAUCCAUCCAUCCAUGGGUUUAUCUCAACAACCAACCAAACCUUGCUUACCUUCAUCCAUGCAUCCAUCAGUCUGUGUAUUUAUCCAAGCAUCUAUCCAUCCAUCCAUCCACCCAUCUAACCAGUCAUAUAGUAUAGAAAUGCAUUCAUCUGCACAUCUCUUUAUCUGUGUAUCCAUUCAUGCAUUCAUCCAUUCAUCCAACCCUCCAUCCAUUUUAGGAUGAAGGUUAGGCUUGAAGCAAUAGCCAAAUAUUGUCCCUCACUUUGCAGCUGCUUGUAUGAGAUAGCUUAUGCUAACCAGGGGUUAUAGGCCCAGUGCAGCAGUUGCUUACUUUUGGAUUAAACAUAAUCUUUUCCAGACAGCUUUCCUUUUAAUCACCUUACUUAUCUUUGUGUCCCCUUAUUUCUAGCUUCUCUUUGUCUGGCACCAGAUCAGCUUGGCGUAAGCUUUAAAUCAUCAAUAUCAACUCCCCAAAAGUGAGUUUCAGAGUGAGCUUCAACGUUUACAAUACAUCACUGAGUCAUACAUCAUAGACCUGAUUAGAUUUUGCUGCAUGCUGAAGAGCACAUCUGUGUUACAUGUGCGCAUAGUGCAAAAACAAAUGGACUUGCUAAUGGUAGAAUUAAGCGCUGAAAAACAGUCUCAGUGGAAUGUGCAUCCUAAGUGAGAUGAGUGCUUGGGUCAGAGUCCUUUUUAAAAUGAACUACAUCAGGUGCUGGACCCUGCUUUGUCUGCAGGAAACUGUAGCCUAGCUUGUGUUCCAGUUCUGUAUUUAUGCAAAUAUUACACUUUAAAGUCUGUGAUAUUUCCAUUUAGUUUGCCCAGUAUUCUCAUUGCUUAUGGAUCUGAGCCUAAUGCACCUCAUUUGGUGAACAGUAUUAUGCUGUCCGCCCUGAGCAGGUUAACAGUCCAUCACAUGGGUUUACUGAUAUCAACAGACAACUGGCAAAGCUGUGAGUCCAGUACAGCUCCACUACAAACCUUUAUUUCUUGCUCAGUCCUCGUUGCUUACUCAGGAGUUGCUGUGUGUGUAGUUUCAUCUUAACUGAGUGGGGCUACGUUAUGUUUAAUAAUUGAAUUUGAGUGUAAACAGAGUACAUUCACAGGUCUUUAAACGCACUGUGGUCCAGGGAUUCAUUCAUCCUGAAUUAACUAGACUGAUAUGAUCUCAUUUAACAUUCCUGUAUCGUCCAAUCGUAUCAGUGACUUAAUAUUCUCUUAACACAACUUCAAGUGUGAAUAUAUUUCUGCUAUAUUUCACCUUCAAAGCCAGCAACCACUCAUCUCCUGGGAGCGUUUGUCACACCACGCUGCACACACGCCUCGAUUUAUACAGCAGCUGGUGCAGUAAAUGUGCUGUAAUUGCACAGUCACACAUGGAUUCGGGUGUGUUCAUACUAUCACACCAAAUCUAUUCAUCUGCGGUCCAUGUGAUAAUGAUGCCUGCCUGAGCGCCAAGCCAGCCCCUCCUAAUUCCCUCUCAGCCCGUCUGCAUGUUAUUUAAGGGUAUUGUUAUCAUGCCCGCUCACUGACUGCAUAUAAGUAUUUGUCCCAUUGUGCUUUGCCUGAUGACUGGCGGAAAUUCUUUGUGUUACAAUCUGAUUGGGCAUCAGGAGUGAUCUCUGCUGUAAUGACCCGUGCUGGGAGGUGUUACAGGAGCAGAUUUGGAGGCGCUAUCCUGUUAACAAGGAGCCUGCUGAGACAAGCUGCGAGCAACACUGCUCCAAGAUGUGUGAUUUCAUGCAAGGCCUCCCAGCGCUAGACAGUUGGUGAUCUGUAUAUCACUUCCUUUUUUUAUUAUUGUUAUUGAAUCAGACACUGAAGAAAAACUGGAGAGCUAGAACCGAGAAACACACCAAAAAUAACCCUUUUUUUAGUUUCUUUCUCUGUGGCUUGAUACCUUUAAAUGAACUGGCCUACUUUUUAUUUUUUUACACCUCUGAAUGCCUCGCGUUUGUUGAAAAAAAAAGUCUGAAAGUGAGGAUGGCUGUUUGGUUUCAGUUAUUCAUGCUGUAUUGACAGACUUUAACACACUGACCCGUGCAUUAGCCUCAUUGAUUUCUCUGACCCCUCUCCCUCAUAUCCAUUUAAUAUGAGCUACAAUACAGUAGGAUUAACCGUUCUGUUAUUUAGCCUUAUGAACCCCGCAUUCAAGCACCCUAAUUUGCUCACAGGCUCAUGGCUUUGGAAAAUGAUUGUGUUUUGUGUGUGAAUGAAUUCUAACAAAUCCUUGUUAAUCAUUGAUAAUUACUGACUGAAAACAAGUGUAUCUCUCACCAGAUAGGUUCAAAUUGUCCUGUAGCUCAUGGAUUUAACUGUUAAAUCAUUAAAGCAACCAUGUCAGAGUUCAGAUGGGCAUAAUUGAUGAUUGUACUGUCUGUCCCUGCUUUUUACAUUCAGAAAAAGACAGACUAACACCAGAUAAUUUGUAACCCAAACCAGAGAGUCAUGGUCCCCAAGUGAGGGAUCCCAAUUUAUGACCGUAAACUCCAGAAUAUCAAUCUAGCUUGAGUCAAAGCGAUGGGAUUAAGCUUGCAAGCAGCCACAGUGUGCCCCCCACUCCCCACUCUAGCAAGGUUUGUUUCUUAUACAGUAGAGAUGUUUUACAGAAUGGGUGUGUAUGUGGCUUCUGGUACUUUUGCAGCCAGCCUCAAGUGGUCACGUGAGGAACUGCAGUUUUUAGCACUUAGAAAAAAGUCACCACCAAGGUCUCAAGUGUGAAACUUGUGUCUUAUAAACCAGAUUUAAUGGGAAGUGAUUUCUCCCCUUUUCCUCUUGUGGCUGAGGUUGUUUAGUGAAACAUCUCUACAACUAUUGAAUAAAUUUAAGAAAAUCAGAUUAUCAUUUAGGUAUCCAUAUUUCAUUCAGCAAAAUGACUCUGGUUAGUUUUUCAUUGCUGCACCAUGAUCAGUUGAUCAAUGUUAGUUUAGCAUAAUUGUCCUACUGAGAAAUGUAGCUCAGAGCAGUGCUGUGGUUAAAUACAGCUUUAUAAAUCUGCUACCAUGGAAGUGGAUUCUUAAUCAUGUUGAAAGAUGACCAAACUGAACAUUAAUACAACUGUUCUACUUAUACUUAACUGUACCCUUUGAAACAACACUACAUGAUUCAUUUUUAACUGAAGCAAAGACCGAUGUCCGUUUUUCCAAAUGCUCAGCUGCAGAUUUUUUCAUUUCUGAUUUGACUGACGUUAUGAGUUAAUGGAAAUGAAGUUCCCAGUGUAGCAAUGUUUGAAAAUUUGAAUGCAAUUUGCAAAUUCAAAAUGUGAAUUACACCCAUCAUGUACACCUGGAUACUGUUCACAGUUCAGACACAGGUAAUAAAUUUACAGUCCAUGCAAAUGACUGUGCUCUUGCUCCAUGACUGAUACCCAUACAGGAAAAAAAAGUGAGCGUUAUUUCCUCUGAAGAACAAAGCAAGAACUAUCCAUCACUGCAGAAAACAACCCGGUUACCUCUCUGCUCCGUAGGCUGCAUGCAGAGUAAUUCUCACGGGGAUGUAUUCCAGACAUAAUGAGAAAGAAACAUCGGGGUAAACAAAUCGACUUUUUUUUUAGCAGGCGAGCCUAAUUACAGGGCAGGAAUAAAUAACUAUUGGAGAGGAGACAGGCUCACUAGUGUAAUGCAUCGUAAUGGACCAUGGGAAGUUAAUGCGUCAUUUUUCUCCCGAGCCUGACGUGUUGUUGUGGUGUACUCGGUUCAGUCUGAAUUCUCUGAUCCUACAGAUGUUUAGCUGCCAUGCCAAACUGCUCUGACUGGGGUUUAUUGUUUUGCAGCCACUUCUGCAAUAAAUCCGUUUUUAACAUCUUUAGAGAAGCAUCUGUUUACCCCUUGUGUGCCAGAGGUGUAACACGACAGCCAUUUCAGCAACAUGUUCCAUCACAGUGAACUGAAAUAUGCAUGUUAACCCACUGUGAGGGGGGAUUUUAACUGGCUAUGCAACAGCCCCAAUUCAAUAUUGAUGUCUCUAUAUGACCUAAAAAGAGUAAACCAGACCAUCAGUUAAAAUAUUGACAAUUUCUAUAUAGUUAUGAAUUCUUGUCACAGUUGAAACUGGGUCAGACGCCAUAAAGUGAUUUACAGCUGGCAGACUAAAAGAGCCGUUGUUUGCAUUUUCAUGGCAAAGUCACACUGUCGUAUUUUAGCCUCUUUAAUGGAGGAAAAUGAUCAUUUCAAGGCACAAAAAGAUGGGAAAUAACAUUAUACUGUAUAUGUCUGCAGGUGCUGCCAAAAUUAUAAUGUAAAAGAUACUUCCAGCUGCUUUUACAUCCCUGUGAAAGAGAGGAGAAACUGAAGGUAGAUGAGCUUGAGAUCUUUUUUGUGUUUUUAAAGCUCCUUGGAGAUGUCUGUAGUUGAGCACUGAUGCUUUUUCAAGGCCUUCUACAGCAAACAAGACCAUCAUAAAGAAAACUGACCAUUUCUCUGCUGCAGUCUUUAAUGCAUAAAUCUGCUGCUGCUGCUGCAGGGUAGGAAGUAUAGAUUUCUACUAUGCUCCAGAAACAGACUACAGUAUUUCAUAGAACAGUCUAACAUGAUACAUUUACAGUUAAAAGAAAGGAGGGUGAGAUUUUUUGUCAGAGACUCUGCAUACAAAUGAACAAGACAGAAUCAGGAAAGAGAUCAGGUAGUGUCUUUUUCCACAGGGGGCGCCAAAAUCAACCCAACCCAAAAGUUUCUUACAGGAGCUUUAAACAGACAAAAUCUCAAACAUGUCUGACUGAAGUGAAGGACCAUCUCAGAUUAAACAGACAUUUCCUCUUCAAAUAGAAAUCAUAUCAAAGUAUCUGACUAUAUUCCCUCCAAUCUAACCUUGGCUGAGCAAAACCUCUGGAUAAGCCACCUGGCCUCUGGUGUUAUAUUUAUAAGAACCAGACCUGCUGAAAAUGUUUCACGACUUUUUUUGAGCACUGAUGAAAAGCCAGCAGAGCGUGUCAUAAAAAGAUGGGUGCAGAGUAUAUCUUAGGGGCAUCGUACAUCUUAAUCAGCUUUCAGAUCCAGUGAGGACUCUUUAUAAAGUUUUCUCACCAAACUUCAAACCACCUCUUCAACCUGUGUCUUCACUAUGAUUCCCAGAAUGCAUUUCUGUAUUGCACACACAGGAUAGAGGAAUGCAACAGUGCUUGAUACCUCACUUAGGUGUGUCAAAUGCGCAUUACAUUUAGAUAUUUUUGAACUCUGUGUGACUGUUGAUUAAGGUUGGACAUUCUCAGGUUUUUUCUGUGUUAACACGGAUUUAAAGUUAUGUUUUUGGUCUUUUACUGUAUUUAUUUAGAGAGGACAGAGCAUGACAUUGGGAGUGACAUGGGACAAAAGGGUCCUGAGCUGCUUUCUUCAGGCAAAACCUCUACACAAGCAGCACCCUCUGUUUUAACUAACGUGAAAUAAAAACAGAACAAAACAAUGAAAGAGAUCUUCUCUUUUCAUAUAUUCCCUAUUCUCAAUAAGAUAUUCCUGUUCAUACUUGGGUUAACCAAGCUUUAGACUAUCUGUUACUGUUUUUAUUCCUAAUUUUCCAUCAUUCUAAAUACUGCAAGCAGAAAAACAUCUUAUUUAUACACACUAAAGUUGAGAAAUGAGGAAUUUAUCCUGACAGCGGGUAGGUUGUCAAUGUUUGGUAAAGUGAUGAUAUUGCUGGCACUGGCAGCAAUUUAAAGACGCUUUGAAAAACAGCCUCAGAGUUUUUCAUUAAACACUGUUUGAACCACUGACUGUCUAUAGAGUGAGCGAUGCACCUUUAUUUGCAGCAACAGUGAGUUUUGAAGCCAAAAUAAUAUGAACAAUAACAUAUCGCACUGGUAGAGCCAAUAUCGCUGGUGUAGCUGCAGGACUGAUGUCACACCCUUACAGUUACAAUCAUGGCUGUGGAAAGCUCUGUGACUUUUGUGUUAGUGUUUGUGAUGUUUCCUCUCACUGUUCCUCUUUAAGAGGAACUAUUGUAGGAGCCAGAAUUUGUCAGCAGAGCUGCUAAUCUGUAUCCACUUUAACAUAAAAAAAACUCAACAGAACCAAAUAUAUGAGAAUAAUGAACACUUGCAUAAAAAGUAGCAUAAUGAAAACGUAGUUUGUUUGACAGAAAGCACAUUUGAAAAGGAUUUAUUUAAUGUGCAUUUUCAUUAUUGAGUUUGGGCCAUAUUUAAUCACUUAUAAUGGAAGUGUUAUAUUGCAGCCAGUCAGCAGGGGGAGCUCCAACAGUUUUGCUCCACACUCUGACUCUGCACAUGUCGUUCACAGUCUGUAAUUUCAACUUCAAAUAUAAACAGAAAGUCAUAGUCUGCACACCAGGAGCUGCCUCAAUGUGAAUUUAAUGAAAAGCAUCACCACAUGUGAUGAUCAUCAGACAUGUCUGAUGAGGGGAAACGACCCAAAACAAGUUUCUGUCCUGAACUGAGCUAUUGAAGUUUCAGAUGUGCAUGCUACUUCUUUAUUGCUUUUUUUUUUUAAAUUAAAAUACGGCUUCCCUCAGGUUUUCAUUAUUUACUCUUCUCAGUUGUUCAUCAUUUGAGAAGCAAUUUCCAACGUUUCUGCAUUUAACAAACUUGAAACUCAGGGAUGUGGCACCAUCUGAGCCUUCCACUCUUGGAAUGAUGACAGAAUAAUAAAAAUAAUAACUUUAUUUUUAUAGAGCCUUUAAAAACAGACGUUUACAGAGUGUUUAGACAGACAAAGCAAAGGCAGGCACUCAGGAAGAUAACAGAGUAAAUAUUUAAUAGUCAGGGCAAACAGAAAGAAGUUAAAGAUGACAAAAGGUAAGAGAAAAAUGCGACACGAAAGGUAAAUGAGUAUAAACACAAAUAAAAAGAUUAAAUGUGAUAGAACAGAAAGCUCUGGAAAGGCAGUUAAAGCAAUGGAGCGAUACAAAUAAAGAGAUCAAUAAGAGAAGAGAGGCAAUGAGCCACAGAACGAUCAUAAGAGGACAACAUCACAUCAGCAGAAAUCAAAACAGAAAAAAAGAUCUGAAGCAUUGAGAAAAAAAGAGGAUAAACAAAAGAAAUAAAAAUGUAAGAAAUAAAAGGCAGUGAGAUUAUGAAAUCCUUAAAAGACAGAGGAACAGAUGAAGAGAUUAAGAGCAGCAAAACGGAUGAAUGAAAAGAGAAAUUAUGAAUGCAUUUAAAAAGGUGAACUCUCAUAAAAGCAGGUCUGCAAAAGUGAGUUUUAAGAUGGCUGAUUUUGCAUGUUUUAUCUCUUAUCUCAGGCACAUAAAGCCCACAGCCAAGGGACCCUGACAGCAUUAUCAGAGCUCCCUUUAGAUUUAAGGUUCUGACUUUGGGACAGCCAUAUCAGCGUCGUAUAAAGAUGUGAUGUUUUGAGACAGCUGACAGAGGACGAUGACUGUUGUGAGAAAGAAGUGAGUUUGCAGUUCUCCCCACAUCUUGUAUUUGUUAAACCAGGUUUUAUAACUGCAGAAAACCCAUCAGCAAACAAUAAGAUUCAAGGACCAACCCUGACGUUCUCACUGGGUCAUUUGUUUGCACUUUCACCGGUCAUAUGAUUCACAAAUACAGGAAAAACACAAAGGCAUGUUUAGACAGUGACUGUUGUCCCCUCUCUGUCUCCCCCCCUCACUUCGGUCAGAGCAUGGAUGCUCUUCUUGACAGAUGAGGUGGAGAAGGGGGAAAAAAAACCCAAACUGAAUAUUCCUCUCUCUGUAAUCGUUUCAAUCUGCUCUGCCAGAACAGAUUGUGGUCUUUUGCUUCCCUGUUGGAGGCCUGUGUACAUCUCCUCCCUCUCGUUCUUAUUCUCCCUCUCCCUCUCCAUUUUUUCCCAUUAUUGCAAUAUGGCACUCUCCAUUUCAUUGUCAGUCUGGGCACAAGGCUGUAGUGUGGACUCCAUAUAUUAUGCCCAAAGCCUACUGACCACCUCCCUGGUGGAGGUGUAUGAUCAUCCAUCAUGGAUAAAACAUUACAGUGCCCCCAUUUGUCUACAAGUGGGCAGGGGAGGGAAAGGAAAUAUGUUAGUAAAAUUGCCCACCUAGUAUCAAAAUGAAACUCUUAAGGAUACCUCUACCCUAUUUUUCUGGGCAAAUUGAAUGCAUUUUUCUGGACUGAGGGAGCGUGGAGCAUGCAAGAUUAGGUGCUUCUUUUUAUUUCGUAUUUUCCAGUGAUCCCCCAGCCCCGUUUAAAGACCCACAGUCAGUGUUGAUUGAGAGAGCCCUCAUAAGUGGCCACGGCAAUUCCAACAACAACAACAGUCGACCUCCUCUGGCAGGAAGAAGGCCCUUAACCACAAGAGCCGGGGCUGGAGGAGGAGGGGGGAGGAGGUGGGAGGUGAGCCAGGAGGAAGGCAGCUUGCGGUCAUACAUCUUGGGAAGGCUGCAUGUGUUGCCCAGACAGCCCCUUAAGUGACUUCACCUCAUCUCAAUGGUGCUCAUUACGUGCCAUAGAAAGCCAUCCAUUCAGGGCGGCAGUAUAAAACAAACCGAGCCCAUCUGGAGAGAGCACACGAGGAUGUCAACACAGGCUUAGGAAAUUGAUUGGGUUGUGUAGGAUGCUGUGAAUGAUAGGGGGUUAUUGUACAUCUCAUUAUUUAUUGGCAGCCUUACAUUUUUACACGCUCAACUCCAUAGUGUCACAAUUACGGCUGCAUAUUUUCAAUCUCAGUGUAUCAACAAGGUUCCCACACAGUCUCUUAAACUAUCCUCAGAGCCAGAAACGAUGCACCCACAGUCGGCUUUUUAGAAAGUUUUCCAACAGCUAUAAUUCAGAUUGGCAUCAUGGCAAAGUCCACACAGUUUUUGCUUUCUCUCUCCCUCUCUCUCUCUCUCAGUCAGUCAGGAAGUGGACUAAAAUCUUUACUUUGAAUGCUGAAGUUUAAAACCACUGAAACAAUUUUCUUUUAAUCAACAUACCAACAAUUUGACAUCACACAGGAAAGCAGCAGAUGAAAUUAGACCGACCAUUUUCAUUCAUCAGACGUCAGGCUGGGUAUGCUGUUAAAAUGUCAGUGCAUUUUGUUCCAGGUAGUUAAUCAUGUAAAUUUAAGUGGUUAGACCAGUAUUGUGGCUGAGUCACUCAAGUCCAGGUCCAAGUUGAGUCAUCAGAGAAGAAUCUGAGUCGAGUUCCCAUUGCCUGAGGUUUUAAAAUAGAAAAGCGUUGCUUUACGCCACACUUUUCACUCAAUGAACCAUGACUGACUUUUAUCAUCAUCGAAUUCUGAGUGAUCCUGUUGUUGUGUCAGAAAAUUGAAGUUGAAUGGAUGUGAAUGGAAAACUCACCAAUGGCCUGGUGGUCUAAGCACCCCAUGUAUAAAGGCAAUAGUCUUUGGAGCGGCACAUGACCUCAUAAACUUUACUAAUUGAUGCAAUUCACUUACAUAUCCUUAUUUAACUGUAAUAAUAUUACAAUCUGCCCCAUAACUGAAACUUCUUUGGAGAGGACAUUGCCUCUUUAUGGAUUGUCUGUCAUACUUUUAUUAAGAUUUUUUUUUUCUUGCUUUUAUGUCGCCUCAUAUCUGCAUUAUCAAACUAUGCUUUUAUUUUGAAGUUUGGUGGAUUUUAAAAUCCAGAACUGAAAGAAGACUGUUUAAAGAGCGGUUAGAUCAUAUCAAUGGCCGAUUGAUUUGUAACCCCAGGAGAUACAAGCUCUAACCUUGUUUUUGAAUUCACAAUAAAACCUGAACAUCGGUUUAUAAAAGAAGGUUGUUUCAGCUAGCCUGUUGCAGUCUACUACUUCUUCUUCAUCUAUCCUAGGUCUUAUCAUGCAUUGCAACCAGCAUAAAAGACUAUUUUUAUGAACUCAUGUUAUUACAGUAAGCUUAUUUAUCAUCAAUACUGGUAUAUAGUGACAACCCUAGCUGCUAACUCUACUGUUAGCAUACUAGCAGUAUCUGCUACAGUCUGAGUUUGUUGUGGUAUUCGCUUCAAUGUUUCAUUUGUAUAGUUUAACAUAUCAAACAUACUGAACUUCUCAUCCUUGUACGUUCUUAAAUCUCUGAAGGCAAAACUCACGACUGUCACCUUUGCUGGCAGCUUAGCAGGAACCUGACAGCAGCUCUCAAUAGAUUUAUCCAAGUGUCCAAAUGCUGUCAAUUUACAUGUCCAGAUGGACUCAUAGUUAUUAAAGAAUCAGGCCUCAGGUUGGGCUAAAGUACCAAAGCACUAGUUGAUGCAUAUCCUUUUUUCUCAGUUGAGUAACAUCAACAUGAACAAGAGUGAAUAUCUGAAGGAGCAUUUGAUCUUAGCUCCAGUUAAAUCCUUUGAAAGUCAGUUAUCUACAUUUGAGCAGCUAACUUAAGCUUUUAACCACAAAAUUAGCAAUGAGGCAGUUUUGUGAACAGUCUAGUUCUGUUGCAAAAUAAAAAAAAAGAGGAACAAUUUCCUGGUCAAUAUUUUUAGGACUAAACAUAGAAUAAGACAAUCAGCCAUUGAGUUCUCCACUCUGAGUGUGCAGUCAGAGUAAAGAGGCCUCUGUGAAUGUAGUCAGCUGAUGCAGAGAGAGAUUCUCUUUGCAACCAGAUGCCAAACACUUGUUAGCGUUUUCUUGAAAAUGAAAUAACAACAUUGGUUAUUCACCACCAGUACUUCCAAAAAAGUUGCUAAAGGUUGUUUUGAAAAUGCAUCCGUUAAAUUUUCUUAAUGCGUUUUAUCAGAUACCAAAAGCAGAUUAAAUCAGACCCACAAUGGCUGUCACAUUUUUGAGCUUAAAGGAUUAUUCAGUCUUGUCAACAUGUGGCCACGUCUUUGUUUAAUUAGAGCUCUGCUGACGUUAGAAAAGCCAAAAAAGAAAAAAAAGGGGGCUGGGUUGAACCAGUCUGCAGAGCAGGUGUCCUAGUUGCAGAGGUAAAGUCCUUCUUUCACUGGAUUUUAGUUUGACUGCUGCUCUUUAACCAUUUGGUGCAUGUCGUAUCAAAGCAAAGAUAAACACACCAACAGUACGACUCAUUUUUCAAAGCCUCUAAUUUGAAACACUUAAUUUUGUCACUGUGUUGCAUAUUUUGUAUUUCAAAUUGCAGGCACAGAUCUUACAAAGUCUUUAAAUAUUUGCUCAUAAAUCAAGUGUCUCCACAGUUGGCCUCUUGGAAAGUAUUUCAAUGGAUGUUACUCAAAGCAGGGCACCAUGGCAAAGUCCACGCAGCAUUGAGUAUUCAUUUUGAAGCCCGUGUUUACGUUGCUUGGCUUGGUAGCCUAGCGCCUCGGAGCAGCGGGCUCCUGCUGAGAUGAAGCUGCUGCUUUCACAAGAUGGAGUCAAACACAGAAGAGGAGGCGAGAACAUAGGGAGCGAAAACGGGCAGAAAACUCUUGAAGCUGCAUUAUCUUCCACUUUCAAAUUCAUUUAAAAUGCCAGGUUUGACAAAUUACACCUUUCCUCCGCCUAAUAUCUCCCUGUAACUGCCUUUUUUUUCUUCCACACAUUACUAUUUAAUGUACAUGUGCAGCUUUUUGAGUGCAGGAAGUGUCCAGCUAAUGAAGCAGAGCUGGAGUCACUCACGCCUGCCUGUGGAAUCAGCACGGACACUGAAUUGCACCAUGUGAACUGCAGCAGGGUGAACAGACUCAGCCAACCAAGAGCUACCGGCCUUAAUCGCUGUGAUUUAAAUUUCUGUUCCUUUCAUUAGGAAGCAUUGACAUUUUAAGCACACCUGUACGCUGCUGUCACUGAAUAACCUUUAAGAAGAAGAGAGAUGUGUCGCUCUUCUGAGGAGACAAAAGCCCAGAAGGAAAUUUACACUGACACACUCAGUCUUCUGUUGUGUACCUUAUAAUUCAAACCAACUGAAAAAGAAAAACUAAAAAACAAAAGAAAGUAUAAAAGAGAGUAUGUUCAGACUGUUUGUGCACCAUGCUCAACACUUUCAUCUUCAUGUUUCUGUUUAAAUUCAACAUUUAUUGUAAGGUGUUUUCAAGUUUUUGAUGUGCCUUCAGACAAGCUCUCAUUCAUGUGGUUUCUUAAAAAAAAAGCAUCUCAAGUUUUUAACCACAUUGUGUACCAUGAAUUGAGCUGUUAGGGACCCCAAAGGCGAAUAGAGGUGUAUAAAACAUGUGCUGCUCAUAAGAAGAGUCCUUAACUGGAUGAAACUAAAUUAAAAAUGCAUAUUAGUUUCUGCGCCAUUUAGUCAUGCGUAUGAGAUGUACUCACAGGUUUCACAUCCUUUCUGGUUACUUCCAGCCCACAGUUCUGCUCCUUCUGUUAAUGCAAUUCAGCACAUGUGUCCAUAUUUCCAUACCAUGCUUGAGUAUGUGGUUUUAAUUUGUGGGAACAUAUGUUUUCAUUAUGGCAAUUGGUGUAUGAAAUAAUGUUGCUUUUUUUUUUUUUUUUCCCAGAAAUGCACCUGCAGUUGGGCAUAAGGAGAUCGGGCCUCUUUGGAGUUAAUGUUGCCUUCAAAAGGACAUCAAAGUGAUGAUUUCCAGACUUCCACGAGCUGAACUUUACUGAAAUCUACACUGAUGUGUGUUUUUUUUACAAGUUACACAACUGCUACAACUGUGUGGCCUCCAGACCAUCAACUCUAAACAGUGAUUCAUAAUUCCUGUUAACGCUGGCACACAGUUGGAUUUAGUGUAUUAAGCAUUCUGACCAAAGCAAGUUUGAUGAAAGUAUUGUUUUCUGCUUUUUCUAGCAGCUGCCUUUCAUCAUAGUAUGUAAGGGAUAAUGGGCAGUGACAAGGUUGUUUUAGUUGCUUGAAUCCCGAAAAGGUCUGAAAGGGUUCCUCUAUCAGAUCAGCCAGUUCACUUUACAUCCUGUUAAUAACACUGCUACAUAAAAUCAAAACAUUAAUACCAAAUGUUGAUGUGGAAAUAAUUUAGUCAAUUUCAAAAUGGUUCCAAGUUGUCUGUUACACUCACAUUUUGGGCUCCAUCCAUUUUAAGUGUUAAUUCAACAGCCCUCAGAAAAUGAGCUAACAUUUAUGUUAUUACCAACCUGAAACUGAAUAUUUGCACUGAUGGUGAAGAGAAACAAGGUGAGCAGGAUCACAUGAGUCAGUGCCACACCUGAUGGAGUUUUCCUGGCUCAUCACAGUCAUAGUCAGCAUUUCUUUUCCAUUUAUCAUACCUUCAAACGCCUCCCAUAGC
rnacentral:lncRNA from 1 species